AAGAUGGGCCAGGAGGAUGUGAGGCAGACAUGGAGAUGUUUGGUACUCCUGUAUGCCCUUGAACUCUUACAGAUCAGGAUGUAAAUUCGUAGCUACUGCUCCAGCACCAAGCUUGCUAUUUCCGGUGUGCCUGUCUGUCUGUGCAACCUACUUGCAGAUCAAGACGUGAGCAUCACAUCAACUGUUCCUGCCACCAUGCCUCUGUUCCUCCACCACUGACUGUGACCUCUGAAGCCAUCAACCCAAUUAAACACUUUCUUUUAUAUG